rnacentral:rRNA from 1 species
GAUGAACGCUGGCGGCGUGCCUAAUACAUGCAAGUCGAGCGAACGGACGAGAAGCUUGCUUCUCUGAUGUUAGCGGCGGACGGGUGAGUAACACGUGGAUAACCUACCUAUAGGACUGGGAUAACUUCGGGAAACCGGAGCUAAUACCGGAUAAUAUUUUGAACCGCAUGGUUCAAUAGUGAAAGACGGUCUUGCUGUCACUUAUAGAUGGAUCCGCGCUGCAUUAGCUAGUUGGUAAGGUAACGGCUUACCAAGGCAACGAUGCAUAGCCGACCUGAGAGGGUGAUCGGCCACACUGGAACUGAGACACGGUCCAGACUCCUACGGGAGGCAGCAGUAGGGAAUCUUCCGCAAUGGGCGAAAGCCUGACGGAGCAACGCCGCGUGAGUGAUGAAGGUCUUCGGAUCGUAAAACUCUGUUAUUAGGGAAGAACAUAUGUGUAAGUAACUGUGCACAUCUUGACGGUACCUAAUCAGAAAGCCACGGCUAACUACGUG